CCCAGACUCCUACGGGAGGCAGCAGUGAGGAAUAUUGGUCAAUGGGCGGGAGCCUGAACCAGCCAAGUCGCGUGAGGGAAGACGGUCCUACGGAUUGUAAACCUCUUUUGCCGGGGAGCAACGGGGUCCUUGCGAGGGCCCAAUGAGAGUACCCGGAGAAAAAGCAUCGGCUAACUCCGUGCCAGCAGCCGCGGUAAUACGGAGGAUGCGAGCGUUAUCCGGAUUUAUUGGGUUUAAAGGGUGCGUAGGCGGAUUUGUAAGUCAGCGGUAAAAAUGCGGUGCUCAACGCCGUAUCGCCGUUGAAACUGCAGGUCUUGAGUGAGCGAGAAGUAUGCGGAAUGCGUGGUGUAGCGGUGAAAUGCAUAGAUAUCACGCAGAACUCCGAUUGCGAAGGCAGCAUACCGGCGCUCAACUGACGCUGAGGCACGAAGGCGUGGGGAUCGAACAGGAUUAGAUACCCCGGUAA
rnacentral:rRNA from 1 species